CGAAAGUAAAACAGCCGAGGCUUUAAACAGCUUUUGUGCGAGUCCUGCCGUUGGCGCCCAUCACGAACUCGGAUAAACCGCUUUUAUUCUGUGAAAAUGACAACAUAAUCGAUUUUCAGACAGGUGUCACAGACGACCAAUCAGACAGCAGUGAGAUAUGUUAGGCAUGUCAUCCAGGGAAGCUGGGUAAAUUCCACUUGCAGUGAGGGAUUUCUUGUAAAUGCCUGCGUUUCCCCUCAACGGCGACUCCGCCUGGUCACGCUGCAGUAUUACUGCUGGAGAUAAAGUCACGUGAUUUACAAGAAAUCCAAGCAGCCUCUGCCUAGGAUUCUGCAAUGAGCCGACAGUUGAGAGCAACGUCCUGAGGCAUGCAUGUGGGUUACCGGGCGGACGUCUGAUGACUUACAUGUCAUGUGCAGCUCUGAGACGCUCAUGUUCACUGCAGCUUAAAGCUGGAUCAUGUACACUGAAAUAAUCAACGUAAUUGUUUUACAAGACGAGGUUGAGACCACAUCAAAUAUAGGAUUUAAGCCUGGUAAUUAACAAAAACUUGGGGGUUUUAAAUAAUUUUAUAUAUGUUUUUCUAUUUAAAAAAUUAACUAAUUAAUCACACACUUUUGGUAAGUAACAUUAAACAGUUAAAAAGUUUUCAAUAUAUUUCUAUAUUAUAAUAAUUUCACAUUGUAUCUCAAAAUAAUGUAGAUAACAUAAAGACGGUAUAUUUCAAAUAUGUGAUUAAUGUCAUGUGUUUAUGAUCUCAUGAAUCACUGAUUCCAGUCCUGAUACUGUCGUCUCUCGUACAUUAAUUGUUUUCUUAAUUUUAGCCAAUAAUUAUAGCCGUUGAACAUUACAGUAUAAUUGAAAGCUGUCAAUUGUGACAUUUAAUAGUCUUUGAAAAAUAUCAACUUUUAAUUUAACUGAACUUAAAACAACCUUCACAUAAACCCAUUAUAAUUAAUAUCAUUUAGCUGUGCCUUUAUUAUAUCAGGGUUUUUCUACUGGCCGGUUCAGAUUUUUACUGGCCCCACAAAAAAAAAAAAAAAAAAAAUAUAUAUAUAUAUAUAUGUAUUUUAUUUAUUUUCUGUAACCUUGUAAACAGAUUUUCAGGUAGGAAAUAUAUAUAUAAAUAAAGUGAUCAAAUGUAAAACCCAGCACAGUCUUCUGUAUAAAUAAAUUAUACAUUUAAUAUAGAUUAUCCUUAUUAAAGUUACAGAAGUUAUUCAGUCAGUGUCUUUUAUUGUUUGAUUAACAUUAACAGUUCAUGAAACCCUAAACUAAAUUUUCUGAGAUUUUAACAGAGUUAUGUGUGUUGUUGACCAUCAUGUUACCAUCUGUUAGAUUCAAUUGUAGGAGAUAACUAGAUCAUUGUAAAAAUCUUCCAGGUUUAAGUUAGUCUUCAUGUCAGCUUCACGGGACGUGAUGUUUUUUUGUACCCAAGUACAUCGAUGACUCAUCAGUGGCUCAUAAUUAUUCAUGAGACGAUGUGUCCUUAUCCAAUGAGAAUACACCCCGCUUAAUUAUUCACGACAGCAUGCUUUGAUCUCCUGACAGGUGUGUGAUAUAGGCAGUAAUGGUUCAAAAAUUAGUGUUUGUUUUUGCUUUGUAAGAGUUUCUGCGUCGCGUAAGUUCUCUUCAAACGAUCCUGAGUCUUUGACACAAACACGAUUCAUCCACACUGUGAGUGUAACCUGUCUUUACAGCCCUUUAACCGAUCAUACGCCGCAAAAUAAGCCUCAAAUGUUAUUAAUGAUGCAACAGCGUGUUCAUAUAUAUUUUCAAUGCAGAGCACAAAUGUGAACGUCUGAGCAUUUGUGCAUUAAAUUAUAGCUGUCACAGGAUAUGAAUGUAUUUGUGUAAUUCACGGUGAGCUUACAAAAGCAUGUAUAAUAUGUUUAUUGUGUUGUGUGUAAUGAUACAUUGCAGUGUACGUUUGUGGGAAGUUUUUAUGCUUUUAACUCAUCGAGAGUGAAAUAAAUCCAUCUGAAUCAGAAGCCGUUGCUGUGUCGUCGCUCUCCCUCCACUCCACAUCUCGCCGCGCUCGCUUCUGUGGCGUUUACAAACCCGUGACACAACAAGGUUUAUUAGGCUGCUGUCACUUUAAGACCUGAUGCACAUGACGCACAUUUCUCACAACUAUUGCUGUUCAUUUACAGUUUUCUUCAAUUGCUAACAUACUUUUGUCCAAUCUGUAGUCACAUUUUCAAAACUCUAAACACAUUUAGCACAACAUCCAUACCGUUAACACAAUUCAUGUUGUUUUCACACAAAAUGCAGUCAAUUAACACGUUUCUAAAAGGCUUAAAUUUUCUUUUCAUACAAGCUUACCCCAUACCAAAAUCAUGGAUCUUUCUCAUCUUAGAUGAAGGAGGAGAGGAAUAGUUGGAUCAGGACGGGAUGAGAAGAGUAAUGGGAAAGGAGGAAUGUGUGCUGGAUUGUGCAUCUCUAUGGUUUUCCCUCUUACACAUGUGGAGCUUAUUUCUGCCAUGAAUAUAAAAUAAAAAAGGCAUUUUUUUUCUCCCAAUUCCUAGUUUAUAUGUGAGACAAAAAGUCACAAUUACCUUUUACAUUAAAAAAAAUUCUGUGGCAGAAAAAAAGCUUCCAUAAUAACCAAAGGUCACGUAUGCUGGAUUUGUUGUUGAUCAACGGCAGCAAUUUCAUGUUUUCAUUCCAGUAAAAGCUUAAUGUAAUUCUUUUACUACAACGAUUCCACUACCACUGCUCUCUCUAUAUGCAGAAUAUGUUGUCUGUGUAGGGCACUAACUACCAAGGGCACACCAUCAACACCACACACUCCUCCAGAUAGAGAUUUCAACAGAGAGGACACUGAAGUCCCUGAGCAAUUCUGUUUCUUCUUCUUCUUUUCUACUGUACAUUACUGUACAGUACAGACUCGUUCACUUUUAGACUGUAUGUUGCCAAGAAUACACACAUUCAACAAUCAACCAGAAAUGUAGAAAGGGUUACAUGUGAGCAUUACUGCAGUAACAGGAAACUGAAUUAUAAAAACAAUGGAUUCAUAUUUUCUGCAGGUAGAACUGAAACAUGACAGUAAUGUAGUUUUCAUAAUGCCAUCAACUAAUAUUUUGACAGUCAUUUCGCUCUGAUUGACUUUAUGUUCAUGUUGGAUAGAAAAUAGUGCUAGUGUUUGACAGAACGACUCGAUUUUGAAUCAGGUUUGCUGUGUUUUGAUAGAGUUAGUAUAUGUACAGUAUAACAAAAUAUGGUUUUGGGCAGAAAAUUAACUAUUUGGCUAAUUGUGUGAUGUAGGAGUGUUGUGUGUCGAGUCACCUUUAUUUAUAUAGCGCUUUUUACAAUGCAGAUUGUGUCAAAGCAGCUUCACAGUCAUAACAGGAACAUAAUUUUGGCUGCACAGCAGCUCUUAAAGAAAAUGGUGUCAUUGUCCAGCUUAAGUAAAUUCAGUAUUGAUUCAUUCCUUUGUAAAAAUCAUUAGUUAGUAAUUUAGUUCAUUUAUCUGACCGUCAGCUCUGGAGAAACAGUGAUGUCAUCGUCCAGCUCAGCUCUCAUACAGCGGUGUCGAUGCAGAUCAAAACACUGCUGAAUAUCAAGUGUCUCCAACCAGAGAUGGCCACAAAUACAUCAAAAAGUAUUUAGUUACAAAUUACAAACACACUGCUGUGUUACAGUUUUUACAAUUGCUUAAACACAAUUUUAAAAACAAGGCUCAUUUUGUCACACGUUCAUUCGUUCUGAUUCUGUUUGAUUCAUUUACACACUGCUGUGCUCAAUCUUAAACAUUUUUAUACUUUUCUAAUGAUAUAGUCUGGGUUUGAUUUUUUCAGAGAUAUUGUUAGAGUAAAGUACAUGAAUAUAUUGACAAAAAAACAAACAAACAAACAAACAAAAAAACACACAAGACCAGUACUGCACAUUGAUAAAAUAUUUAUUUCUCACCACAUUGUAAAACCAUUCAAUACAUCCAUGACUUUCCAAAGGUUACAUUUUGCACUGAAAAUACAACAUAUUCUAAAUACAAUAUAUUACAGGAACAAAAGCAUUUGUGGAGAAAAAAACAAA